UAAGGCUUCAGCUAUAUUUAACAAUAAUAAUGCUAUCAGAUACGGUGUAGCCUGAAUGCUACCGAAACAUGUAGUCUAGAUGCUACCAGAUACGGUGUAGACUGAAUGCUACCUAAACAUGUAGCCAUUAUGCUACCAGAUACGAUGUAGCCUGAAUGCUACCAACAUUCUCGAAGCCUUGUUUAACUUACUAGUGUAUCAUUCUUAAACUGAAUGACAAAUUAUGUAUCAUUACAGUAAUACAUGGCACACUUACAUAUGAAUAUUGAGCAUAAAGAACAACAGUAGCUGAUAAGAAAACAACAAAGUGGGAAUAUCAGCUGUAGCUUAGUCUUCAACAUUAAUAUCUAAGCAGAAUAAUGAACAACAAUACAUGUAUAGAAGACUUAACAUUAACGAACAGCAAUAUGAAUGAAACAUGAAUACAUAUGAAUAUUAUGCAGCAUAAAUUAUGAAACAUACUCAUGUAUCAUACAAAUAUUACUCAAUAUAAAAAGAGACAUUUCUUGCCAAGAUGUCUUGUCAGUCCAAUAAUUACAUUAUUUACAUAAUUAUGACAUCUUAUCUCCUUAAUGUACAUUAUAACUUUGCAUUUUUCAGACAGAAUCCUAAUACAACACUUACAGCAACCAUAAUGAUGAAUGCAGAGAAAAAUUGUGGAGACGCUUAAGAGCAGUACCAGUCCUACUAUUAUGUGAAAAUGCAGAGAAGUGAUGACUAGAGAGUAAACUUUAAAAAUGCUUUCAAGGUCUUCCAUUUCACUUGUUGAUGAUGAAGUUUUAGUACUUGAUGAAGUUGAUGAUGAAUUUGACGUUGAUGAUGAAUUUGAUGAUGUUGACGAAGAACGUGAUGAAGAGGACAAAUUCGGUGAAGAUUUUGCUGAUGGUGAUCUAUCUCUGUUACAAGGACGAUUAUUUCCUUGAUCAUUAGUUGAAGUGCGAACACAGAAAAGACUGGAGAACUUCGGACUGGUAGAUAACACAGGAUGGCUGUAAAUUGAAUGUUUCGUUUCAGCAUUUUCUAAUUCAGGCUGUCCAAAGACAAGAUCAAUUGGGAGCCUUAUUUCAGAGCCAUAGACCAUAGAUGCGAGUGUGACACCAAUGGCUUCAUGUACAGAACUACGAUGGGCCAUUAAACAUAAAGGU
rnacentral:lncRNA from 1 species